UUUAGUUGAGGCCAGUGCCUUUAUAAUUCUUUGUUCUAUAGAUUGUUUGUUUGCCAGAAAAAAAUAAAUGAACCAUAAAAUUAUGCAAUAAUACUUAACUAAGUAUUUAGUAGCAUUAAAAUUGCAUGCAUAUGAUGGAUGCUCGCCUUGCACAUGCGAAUCAAAGCUGUAUCAGUGCGCUUAUUGCCAAUUCCAAUAUCUGGCCGGGCUUUCGCUCCGAGAGCCUGACGAAGAGCAUCUGCUUUUUGCUGUCCUGUAAGUACUCCAGGCUUUUGUUGAUACCCCUGAUAUGGUGAGAUCUCAAAUGAAUUUCCAGAGGCUUUCUCUCACUGACAUCAAAAUUGACAUCAAGAGGGUCCCCAAAAAGAAGGAAUUGCUUGCGGCAAUGGAGGCUGCUGAUGUGAACGUGGGAAAGUAGCUCUUGGGGUAGGAAGCUUAUUGUUCAGAAGCGAAGGGCCAAUCUUAAUGACUUUGACCGCUUCAAGCUUAUGUUGGCUAAGAUCAAGAGGGCUGGCCUGGUCAAGAGCGAACUUGCAAAACUAAAGAGGCAGAGUGCUUAGGCAAUAUUUGAUUUGAUGUUAGGUUUACAAUUUUGUAAUGAAUUUUCUUCAAAACUGUACUUCGGUUUGUAAUCCCUUGUUCCUUCUAUUAGUCUUUUUCAGAGUACUAUAUUGUUUUUUUUUUUUUUACUUUUUUAAUAUUGGUGACAAGUUGG